AGUGAACGCUGGCGGUAGGCCUAACACAUGCAAGUCGAACGGCAGCACAGUAAGAGCUUGCUCUUACGGGUGGCGAGUGGCGGACGGGUGAGGAAUACAUCGGAAUCUACUUUUUCGUGGGGGAUAACGUAGGGAAACUUAUGCUAAUACCGCAUACGACCUACGGGUGAAAGCAGGGGAUCUUCGGACCUUGCGCGAUUGAAUGAGCCGAUGUCGGAUUAGCUAGUUGGCGGGGUAAAGGCCCACCAAGGCGACGAUCCGUAGCUGGUCUGAGAGGAUGAUCAGCCACACUGGAACUGAGACACGGUCCAGACUCCUACGGGAGGCAGCAGUGGGGAAUAUUGGACAAUGGGCGCAAGCCUGAUCCAGCCAUACCGCGUGGGUGAAGAAGGCCUUCGGGUUGUAAAGCCCUUUUGUUGGGAAAGAAAAGCAGCAGGUUAAUACCCCGCUGUUCUGACGGAACCCAAAGAAUAAGCACCGGCUAACUUCGUG
rnacentral:rRNA from 1 species